GAGGAACGCUGGCGGCGUGCCUAAUACAUGCAAGUCGAGCGAAGAGAGAAGGAGCUUGCUCCUGUGAUGUUAACAGCGGACGGGUGAGUAACACGUGGGUAAGCUACCUAUAAGACUGGGACAACUUUGGGAAACAGGGGCUAAUGCCGGAUAACAUUUAGAAACGCAUGGUUCUAGAGUGAAAGAUGCUUUUGCUAGCAGCUAUAGAUAGACCCGCGCCGUAUUACACAGUUGUUAAGGUAACGGCUAACCAAGGCAACGAUACGUAGCGGACCUGAUGGGGUGAUCGCCCACACUGGACCUGAGACACGCUCCAGACUCCUCCGGGAGGCAGAAGUAGGGAAUCUUCCGCAAUGGCCGAAAGCCUGACGGAGAAACGCCGCGUGCUUGAUGAAGGUUUUCGGAUCGUAAAACUCUGUUAUUAGGGAAGACCAAAGGUGUAAGUAACUGUGCACGUCUUGACGGUACCUAAUCAGAAAGCCACGGCUAACUACGUG
rnacentral:rRNA from 1 species